rnacentral:rRNA from 1 species
GACGAACGCUGGCGGCGUGCUUAACACAUGCAAGUCGAACGGAAAGGCCCUGCUUUUGUGGGGUGCUCGAGUGGCGAACGGGUGAGUAACACGUGAGUAACCUGCCCUUGACUUUGGGAUAACUUCAGGAAACUGGGGCUAAUACCGGAUAGGAGCUCCUGCUGCAUGGUGGGGGUUGGAAAGUUUCGGCGGUUGGGGAUGGACUCGCGGCUUAUCAGCUUGUUGGUGGGGUAGUGUCUUACCAAGGCUUUGACGGGUAGCCGGCCUGAGAGGGUGACCGGCCACAUGGGGACUGAGAUACGGCCCAGACUCCUACGGGAGGCAGCAGUGGGGAAUAUUGCACAAUGGGCGGAAGCCUGAUGCAGCAACGCCGCGUGCGGGAUGACGGCCUUCGGGUUGUAAACCGCUUUCGCCUGUGACGAAGCGUGAGUGACGGUAAUGGGUAAAGAAGCACCGGCUAACUACGUG